GCGCAGAGAGAAGCCGCUGCUGGUUCUUGUACUCCUAUCAAAGUUUGCAGGCCACUUCUUCUCACACUUUCAUCUGAAGUUGUCGGCGGAGCCUGGAACCGCCCAGCGAAGAGGAGCGGCCACAGCCUGUCCCCGCUUUAACUGACACGGGCUACUUGCCAAAACUGUUACUAAGCCGGCGUACGUACGACCGGGUGCUUCCGGAAGUUCUUUUCAAAAUAAAAUGCAAACGUUUUCA